UACGGAGGGUGCGAGCGUUGUCCGGAAUCACUGGGCGUAAAGGGCGCGUAGGCGGCCUGAUAAGUAGGGGGUGAAAUCCUGCGGCUUAACCGCAGGGCUGCCUUCUAAACUGUCGGGCUAGAGCACGGUAGAGGCAGAUGGAAUUCCCGGUGUAGCGGUGGAAUGCGUAGAGAUCGGGAAGAACAUCAGUGGCGAAGGCGGUCUGCUGGGCCGUUGCUGACGCUGAGGCGCGACAGCGUGGGUAGCAAACGGG
rnacentral:rRNA from 1 species